AUGUUGAAGAAAAAGCUCGGGCUAAAGAUACUACUGAAAAAGGAGUGCCCAGGCAAAGCUCACGCUGCUGGCAAGAAACUGGUGGUCGCAAGGGAUUCUUCCGUCCUAAUGGGGAAUGGGUCACAUGCUUCUGUUCGUGGCAUUGGCACGGUGGAUCUGAAGUUUACUUCGGGAAAGAUCGUGCAACUAAGGAACGUGCAGCAUGUCCCUACUAUGAACAAGAAUCUAGUUAGCGGCUCCCUUCUAUGUCGAGAUGGAUUUAAUGUAGUUUUAGAGUCCAAUAAAGUAAUCGUGUCAAGAUUUGGACAAUUUAUAGGAAAAGGCUAUGAGUGCGGAGGCUUGUUCCACUUUUCUCUUUCAGAUUUUUGCAAUAAGUCAAUAAACCAAAUUUGUGCUAGUGUUAAUGAUGAUGCAAGUAUUUGGCACUCUCGUUUAUGUCAUAUUAAUUUUGGUUUAAUGUCUCGGCUAUCCAGCAUGAGUUUAAUUCCGAACUUCACAGUUGCCAAAGGUUCUAAGUGCCAUAGUUGUGUGCAAUCUAAGCAACCUCGAAAGCCUCAUAAGGCUGCCGAGGAGAGAAACUUGGCACCUCUAGAACUUAUACAUUCUGAUCUUUGUGAGAUGAAUGGUGUGUUGACAAAAGGUGGAAAGAGAUAUUUCAUGACUUUGAUUGAUGAUGCGACUAGAUUUUGCUAUGUUUAUUUGUUGCAAACUAAAGAUGAAGCAUUAGACUGCUUUAAAAUCUAUAAAGAACAUGGUAUUAUUCAUGAGAGGACGCCUCGCUAUUCACCUCAAUCAAAUGGAGUGGCCGAGAGGAAAAACCGCACAUUGACUGACUUGGUGAAUGCCAUGUUAGACACUGCUGGUUUAUCUAAGGCAUGGUGGGGGGAGGCUCUAUUGACUUCAUGUCAUGUCCUGAAUAGAGUUCCCAACAAUAAUAAGGAGAAAACCCCUUAUGAGGAGUGGGUUGGGAGAAAACCAUCACUUUCUUAUUUGCGCACUUGGCGAUGUUUGGCAAAGGUCAAUAUUCCUAUUCCUAAGAAACGCAAACUUGGACCAAAGACAGUGGAUUGUGUCUUUCUAGGGUAUGCUCAACGGAGCAUUGCUUAUAGGUUUUUAGUGGUAAAAUCUGAAGUACCUGAUAUGCAUGUUGAUACUAUAAUGGAAUCUCGUGAUGCAACAUUUUUUGAGAACAUAUUUCCUAUGAAAGAUAUGCAUAGCAUUGCUAGAUUUUCUUCUGAGAUAAUUCCUGAAUCUAGUACAACUGAUGAAUAUUUCGAACAAUCACAUGAGGAAGUCCUUGAGAAGGAUAACAAUGAAGUUCCUAGAAGGAACAAGAGACAAAGGAUUGCAAAAUCCUUUGGUGAUGAUUUCAUUGUAUACCUUGUGGACGACACACCCAAGACGAUUGCAGAAGCAUAUGCAUCUCCGGAUGUAGAUGAUUGGAAAGAAGCUAUUCAUAAUGAGAUGGACUCAAUUCUUUCUAAUGGAACUUGGGAACUAACUGAUAGACCAUAUGGUUGUAAACCUGUGGGCUGUAAGUGGGUGUUCAAAAAGAAGCUAAAGCCUGAUGGUACUAUUGAUAAGUACAAGGCACGGCUAGUGGCCAAGGGCUACACUCAGAAAGAAGGCGAAGAUUUCUUUGACAUCUAUUCACCCGUUGCUAGAAUGACCACCAUUCGAGUGUUACUUUCCUUGGCUGCCUCUUAUGGUCUUAUCAUUCAUCAAAUGGAUGUAAAGACAGCUUUUCUCAAUGGAGAGUUGGAAGAGGAGAUCUAUAUGGAUCAGCCUGACGGGUUUGUGGUUAAGGGUGAAGAGAGAAAGGUGUGCAAGUUGUUAAAAUCGUUGUAUGGUCUGAAACAGGCACCUAAGCAAUGGCAUGAGAAGUUUGAAAGAACUCUGACUUCUGCAGGAUUUGUCAUUAACGAGGCUGAUAGGUGUGUUUACUAUCGCCAUGGUGGGGGCAAUAGUGUCAUAUUAUGUUUGUAUGUGGACGACAUACUGAUCUUUGGUACAAACAUUAAUGCAAUUAAUGAGGUCAAGUCUUUUCUAUCAAAAAGUUUUGACAUGAAAGAUCUGGGAGAAGCCGAUGUAAUUCUAAACAUCAAACUUAUUAAGGAUGAGAGUGGGAUUACAUUAACGCAAUCUCACUAUGUUGAGAAGGUCUUGAACCGAUUCGGUUUUAUGGAUAGCAAGCCUUCUCCAACACCUUAUGAUCCCAGCGUGACACUCAGAAAGAACAAGAAAGAAACGAGAGAUCAAUUAAGAUACUCUCAAAUUGUCGGUUCACUCAUGUACUUAGCUAGCGCUACAAGACCAGAUAUCUCUUUUGCUGUGAGCAAACUGAGUAGGUUCAUGUCCAACCCGGGUGAUGAUCAUUGGCAUGCACUAGAAAGGGUCUUGCGCUAUCUGAGAGGUACUAUGAGUUACGGAAUUACUUAUUCAGGGCAUCCUGCUGUGCUAGAAGGAUAUAGUGAUUCAAAUUGGAUCUCCGAUGUUGAUGUACUUUACGCAACAAGUGGGUAUGUAUUUACUCAUGGUGGUGGCGCAGUGUCAUGGAGGUCUUGCAAGCAAACCAUAUUG
rnacentral:rRNA from 1 species